rfam:TPA: Bos taurus chromosome 16, whole genome shotgun sequence.
UGGCUCAGAGGGUAAAGCGUCUGCCUGCAAUGCAGGAGACCCAGGUUCGAUCCCUGG